GGCUACGGCCAUAACACCCUGAACGUGCCUGAUCUAGUCUGAUCUUGGAAGCUAAGCAGGGUGGGGCCUGGUUAGUGCUUGGAUAGCGGAGCUC
rnacentral:rRNA from 1 species